UACGUAGGGUGCGAGCGUUGUCCGGAAUUACUGGGCGUAAAGAGCUCGUAGGUGGUUUGUCGCGUUGUUCGUGAAAACUCACGGCUUAACUGUGAGCGUGCGGGCGAUACGGGCAGACUGGAGUACUGCAGGGGAGACUGGAAUUCCUGGUGUAGCGGUGGAAUGCGCAGAUAUCAGGAGGAACACCGGUGGCGAAGGCGGGUCUCUGGGCCGAUACUGACGCUGAGGAGCGAAAGUGUGGGGAGCGAACAGG
rnacentral:rRNA from 1 species